AUCGCUUCUCAGCCUUUUGGCUAAGAUCAAGUGUAGAAAAUGAAACCCUCUAAGUUAUUUUAAUAUGUCAAUAUUGGUUAUCAUCUUUAAUGUUCAAUUCAAUGCUGAAGAUAGUUUUAGGAUUAUUAAA
ensembl:snRNA U2 U2 spliceosomal RNA